AGCUGAUUUCAUUUGAGCAGUACAAGAACCAAUCUUACUUUUGCUUUCCUUAGGAUUACGGUGAGCUUGUCAGUCAGUGCCUAGAGGCAGUCAACACAAUGCAGUUGUGCCAGCUUUUUUUCUAGACCUGGAGCACUGUGAUUUUGGGCUUUAGUCAUAAUCUACAUUCUCCCUUCAAAACAUCCCUGUGAUUUUUGGAGCAUCUUGGCAGAAGGUGAACUUGUACGUGACAGCAUCUGGAUGUCCAUGCAUUUUUUUGAGCCCUGUUGUGUAGACGACAGUGGAGUGAAUAGCCACUCUGCACCACAGCUUGCACAUGGGACUGCGGACCCCAGGGAUCCCAUCCUCAGCCUCAUGCUGGAUUUCCUCUGGAAAUUGUAAAUAUCAGAGUUGGACACUGAUCCUGCAGGGUAAAAAG
rnacentral:lncRNA from 1 species